rnacentral:lncRNA from 1 species
UCCUCAUGAAGUUAUGCAGGACAUACUUCACACACGCCUGAAUUCCCCCACGAGGCAGUCCCAGAUGCCCUGGUCACCCAACCGUGCAGUGCCCUACACGAUAACUGUAGGCAAUCGUUUUGAAGGAAUCUACAGUUACAAGGACCAGGACUGAAAAACACUGCUCUUCAUUGGGACCUCUUCAUCAUAUCUGACCUUCCUCAUUUAAGAACAUUUUAGGAGGCAUUGGAGAGCUGCUGGACGUUGGGGUCAACAAAUCUAUAUCCCAUUUACGAACACGUCACAGCAUCAGCCAAGCAUUGUAGGC